rnacentral:rRNA from 1 species
UACGUAGGGGGCAAGCGUUGUCCGGAUUUAUUGGGCGUAAAGAGCGUGUAGGCGGCCAAAUAGGUCGGUUGUGAAAACUGGAGGCUUAACCUCCAGACGUCGACCGAAACCAUCUGGCUAGAGUCCGGAAGAGGAGAGUGGAAUUCCUGGUGUAGCGGUGAAAUGCGCAGAUAUCAGGAAGAACACCCGUGGCGAAGGCGGCUCUCUGGGACGGUACUGACGCUGAGACGCGAAAGCGUGGGGAGCGAACAGGG